GGACUCAUGGGGAAACACAAGGCCCAUGGCCGGCUGGAAACAGCUUCGAAGCUGGAGCAGCCACAGAUCCAUGCGGGCCCAGUGCCAGCGCCCACAGUGCCAGCACAGAGCCCUGACCCAGCCAGAGCCAGGUCAGGCCCAGCCCUGGGCAAAUAUGUGACCGGGUCCUCCCAGGGUCCUGAGAAGGGACAGGCCAGUGCAGAGGGCAGGUCAGCUUCUGCAGAGCAGGCCACACCUGACCCAGGCCCCGACCCAGAACCUGCCCAGCCGCGCCUGGCUAGGAUCUGCCCUCCGGACGGCUCCGCCCAUCAGGUACGGGCACUAGGGGAGGGGCACGGUCCAGGUCCGUGGUGUGUGCACUGGGUGUGGCAUCAGAGCUCCAAAGGCUCCACCAAGCCAGGCUGGGAGGGCUCCCUGCCAUCGCCAGCCAUCUGGCCAGCUGGCCACCACACAGGCCUCCCUCCUGUGCUGGGCGACAGGUGCGAGCCCCACCCAGCAGUUCAGGGCAAGGGCACGGCUUCCCGGUACUCUCUGGAGCACUAUCGAGGGACCGCGAUGAGGCCCUGCUGCUCUCCUGGAGCAAGAGGCCACAACCGGAGAAGAGGGCGACGCGAUGUCGGUCUGCUUUCCCCAGGGGAGCGCGGCGGGGACCGAGAGUGCUAACCCUGGAGCCGGUGAGACCGCGGGCCGCCUCUCGAUCGCGGUGCUGGAGCAGAAGCCGCAAGAGGAGACGCUGCUCCAGCAGCACUGGGCCGCGCUGCUGCGCCUGCGCAAGACGGCGCGGGAGGAAAAGGCCCGAGCGGAGCGCGCGCUGCAGGAGCACCAGCUAGGGUGUCUGGAGCACAGAGGCCACGGAACCACAGGGGCUGCCUUGGGGGAGAGGGCACCGCAGGCCCUCAGCAGGCUGGAGGAGGAGCGGGUGCAGAGGGAAAUGCCGGGCCUGCAGGACAUGCAUUGGCCAGUGCUCCAGGGCGGACAGCAGCUGCCGCAGCAGCAGGAGGCCACUCUCACCGCGCAGAGGACACCAACACCACGGCUGCAGAGUCCUGGCCCCCAAGUCAAGGCUGCAGGGGAAGGGGCCUCAGAGGCAGGCCAGCAGCUGGAAGGAGCCCUGUGCCCCCCAAAACCACACAGGUCUUGCAGCCCUGUCAGCCCACGAGUGCAGAGAGGCUCCAAGAGUGCAGAGGUCACACACCUUGCCUGUGACCAGUGGGAGGAGACAACCAAGACAACUGAAGAUGCCACCAGCCACCAGCAGCCUCCGAGGCCAGCUUCAGGAGAGGACAUAGCAGGGCCCAGCAGCCCACUGGAGGAGGAAGGCAGUCAUAUAGACCAAGAGCCUUGCAAGCCUUGGCCGGGAUAUCUGCACUCAGACUCGCUGAACUCUGGACAGCUGUUGGACUCUGCCUGUCCGGUAUGCAAGUCCUCCAGAAACCCCUUCCGAGCUCCCUGCCUGGGUGGGGUCCCCAUUCUGCCUGCCGCUGCUAGGUCUCAGCUGGGACCUGGACACCCGUGGUUCUUCUCCUGUGUCGCUGCUGGUCAUUGCAGACUUGGUACCCACUCCCUCGUGGCAGCCUCUGCAACCCUGGGCAUCUCUCCCCUGUCUUGUCCAUACAGGCCCUCGAGGCAGAGCAGGACACCCCUGCAGCUCAGCUUGGGGUGCAGGAGGUGCUGGAGCUGCUCACAGGGGACACCCAGACCCAGGCCAGAGACUGCUGGGCCAGGAAGAGGCCCCCAGCUCCGCAGGAUGGUUGUGCCCACGGCUUCCAGGGGCACGGCCUGCAAUGCCUGGGGGCAGACCGUCCAUGCUGUCUGCAGGAAGCAAGUGACGGAGGCAUUUCAGAGGGACAGCAGCAACCCAGUGGCCGUUUCCCCAGCUCCUGUGACCCUGGAGGAGAAGGCAGUACCCCCCAUCCAGCCCAGGCCUGCUACGUCCGUGCACCUGGGCUCUGAGCUUGCACUCUCCUGGGGGUCUUCAGGGUCCCCAGCAUCGUCCCCUCUGUCCUCACCAGGCUCUGGGAAUGGCCUGUCACACUCUUCCCUCCAGGAGUUUCAGAAAGCCAUAGCCACCCUGGCCCAGCUUUCCAACAGCUCCGAAUCCCUAUCUGACCUGGAGGCUGAGGGUAGCCUGGACACAGACCCCAGCUGGUCUGAGGAGCUGUGUGCUCACAAGGACUUUGGCCCACCCUCAUCUUUGGAGCUCCACCAGGGUGACCCUCAACCAGGUGCUGUGCCUGCAGGUGCCGGGCCGGUGACCUGGCAGAGGCCAGAGCGUGACCAGGCUGCUCGCCUGCCUGGCCCUCCUGGGAAGGUGACUGUGGCAGAAGCCUCGGACCCAGAGUGGAGUUGCCCACAGGCAGGCCGGCCACCGCCUCCCCAAGACAUCCAUUCUCCCAGUCCUGGGUCAGAGCUGUCAGAGACCUCCAGCCAAAUCUGGAUCGAGGACAAUGAGGAGAACCUCCGAGAUCCUGGCACAGGGGCCCAGCCCAGCUCAGGGAGCUCCUCGACACUUGGCUCUUCCAGCUGGGAGCACAGUGUGGUUCUGCCCACCUUGGUCCAGGGGGAGGGACAGGAACCUUCCAGAGCCAGCUGGAGCCUGAACGGUGGGUCAAACACAGAGAGCCCCCAGCAGGUGUCCUCCAAGGCACCAUCUACCAGUGACCUAGACCUGUAGGUCUAGGGAUCGACAGGUCCUUUUCUUCAGGGACCUCUGCAUCUGAAGGGGCUCAUUGCCAGGAGAAGCCCUGGGAUGCUGGCCUGAGCCUGUCUUCUGGAAGGAGACCCCCACAGGCCUCUGCAGGGCCUGAGGUCCUCUGUGGGCUUGCACUCUCUGUAGCUGAGGGCCAGGCAUCUGGGUGUGCAGGGAACGAAGCGCCCCAAGUCUCAGAGCAAGCUGCACCCUCUCACGGUGCUGGCUUCCCGACUGGGAGCCUGUCCCCUGUGGACGAGGAGUGGCUUUACAGCAGUGGGGCCCUCCUGCAUGGCCUCUCCUGGGACACCCACCUCCCUCCACCACUGCCCACUGCCCACACAGACCGUAAGGAGCAAGAGGCCCAGCCCUGCUCCGAAGACUUCCCGUCCCCGCCCAAGAGGCCUUGGUUCCCCAAGGCUCCCUGAGCCCCCUGGAGGAGGAUGCCUUUGUUACCACUGAGGACUUGCCCUCCUUGUCUGAGGAGGUCCCACGACAGGCACUGUCAUUGAGUCUCCAGGACUUGGGGCUCUGCCUGAGGACACGCCGACCAUGGAGAGACCCUGAGGGUGAACUGGGCAGGUCAGGGUCCAUGGUGGAAAGUCAGGCUGUGGAUUGUCAAUGGUCUGAACACGUCACCUGGCCAGAGUCUCCCUUGGGUAAAGGGGCAGGCAGUGUCCCCAGGAAGCUCCCGAGGGCACCAGCACAGCCUCUGUUCCUUUCCCAAGUGGCCCAAGUUGCAGAAGAGUGUCUGUCUGGGUUGUGGGGGGCUGAUGACCCAGAGGCCUUGGGCAGGCGCAUCAGGCCCCAGGAAGGGCUGCUGUGCUCUGAGAGUGCAGGGUGCCAGGGAGGCUGGGAUACCCUUGCAGCCUGUCUGUCAGACCUGAUGCCUUUGGUGGUCCACGGUCAGGCAGGGUUUCCCGGGCACACUAUCGAGGAAUGUAUGGAAGGCCUGAGCUGCUGGGCAGAGGACUCACUGUGCAGAGAGCCACUCCCAAAGGAACACUUGGCCACUGGCCACCAGCCACUAGGCUCCUGCUCUAAUCUCCUGGGCACAGAGAGGGACAAUGCGGUGGCCCUGGUGUUCACUCAGCUUACCAGGAGGAUCCUGCUGGACUCCAUGGCUGUGCUGGCCCCUGGAGACAGCCUCUAGACAGUGUGAUGUCAGUGUGUGUGUGAGUGUGGGUGUGUGUGUGCACAUGCACAUGCACAUGCAAGAGCCUCUGGAAGCCAGCCCUUCCAUCCUGGGGUCGACAGGUCAGGCUGCAUGGCCAUUGCGGCCAGCUGUACAGGAAGUCACCUGAUGGCACCCGCUGUCUGCAGUUCUCUGCACGGAGGCUGUGUAGCUUCCAGAUUCUUGAGGCCCCUGACCCAAGUCAGGAACCAUCGGGGUGGAGGAUGCACAGGCAGCAGGGGGCCACCUCUCAGGGCGGGGUGAGGGGAAGAGGGAGCUGACAUUGCAGAGUCAGGGCGAGAAGAGCCAAGGAGCUGUAUGGACAGAGGACUGGAAGAGGUGGCAGCUUGGGGGCCAAAGGUCAUUUCAGCCCUGAUCAGCAAAGCCUGGGGCUUGUCCAGUUAGAUGGGGUCACCUCCAGUGCUGUGGACCCCCAAUGAGCUUGCUGGGUCUCCUGGGCCUUCCCUCUUCUUGGGAUCCCCUGAGGCUACCCUGCCUGCUUCAUGUCCCAGUGGGCUCCACAUCAGAUGACCCUGAGUGGUUCUUUGAGGAGGUGGCCCAGGACACUGUCAUGUGUCCUCUUUUCACAGAGGAGCCCGUCUUUCUCAGGACAGAUGUCCAGCAGGAAGCCUGUGCUGUGGAUUCCAGCACACAGGGCCUCCUGCAUAGAGAGAAGCCAUGGGGACACCCAGGAGCCGUGAUCCUGAAGGUCCCCCCCCCCAAGCCUCAGAUGGCCUCCGCUGUUGUCCAGGGCAGACAGGAUGGGCCAGUCACAUUGCUGGGCUUCCUGGGAUGGGCAGAUCAUGCAGAAUGGCCACCUGUGCUGCCAUGCAGGAAAUCACCUACGUGCCCUGUCCCCCAGGAAGUCCACCCAUAUUCUGAAGCCCAACACUGGGAGAAGCACCACAGCCACCAUCCCAGCCAAAGCCCCCAGCACCAGUGCCCCAGGCUGGACCCCGUGGGGCCUCCUCUUCCACCCCACCCCAAGGCUGGGUGAUGGGGGAGCGGGUGGCGUGGAGUGUGCACCUCUGCUGUUUUGGUCCUGAAUCUGCGCCUGCCAUGGCCUCAGAAAAGUGGCUUUGCACAAGCCCAGUGGCCAGCGCUCUUUAAGCGGAAGCAGCUUUCAGAUCCAUUUUCUGACUCCUAAGCCAGGGCUUUCUGGAGGAUGUGAUGGGCAAUCUCUGAGGUUAUGCUCCAACCCCGAGCAGUGGGCAUGUGUGUGUGUGCACAUGUGUGUGUGUGCAUGUGAGUUGUCUGUGACUUACCUCCUAGUGACCCCUUAUCAUUUGUCUUCUGUCUAUUCAUCCAUGAAUCUGUCUGCCCACCUGCUGUCUGUCCAUCCAUCUGUACCAGCUUGCAUCUCAAUCAUGAUAAAUGACACUGAAAUGGCACAAGCCUAUGAUCCCAGCUGCUGCAGAGCUGAGGCAGGAAGUUGCAAGUUCAAGGCCGGCCUGGGCAAUUAGUGAGACCUUAUCUCAAAAGAUAAAUACUCAAAAGAGCUGAGGGUGUGGCUCAGUGGUAGAGCGUUUGUCUAGUUUGUGUGAGUCCCUGGGCCCCAAUCCCCAGAAUUUCAAAAAGAACCAGAAAGCUAAGUGUGGUGACACAUGCCCAUAAUCCCAGCACUCAGGAGGCUGAAGUGGGAGGAUCACUGGAAUUCAAGACCAGCUUGGGAUACAAAGUCAAUUCAAGACCAGCCUGAGUUAUAUAUAUAGCAAGAAGAAAAACCCAAGGGUAACAAACCAGUAACCAGAACCCCAAAUAUGCUCAUGAGUAAUUUGUGGCUCUGGCAGCAGCUGACAUGACAUGAAAGGCAGGGCACAGGGGAGCGACAUGCAUGGUGGCCUUGGAAAGUCGACACCAGGACACUCGAAAACACUGCACAGGGCUCAGCAAUAUGCACAGCUUCUGUGAUUUUAUGCAUCAGCUCAAAGUAAUUUAAAAAACCCCUUUGAAUAAAGAUUCUGGACGAUGAAAGGAUUGUUGUGAGGAAAUGGCUAUUUUCCCCUCUUCUACUUCCAUAUUG
ensembl:lincRNA